rnacentral:pre_miRNA from 1 species
CCUUAUCACUUUUCCAGCCCAGCUAUGUGUUCUGUAUCUGUUGGACGGAGAACUGAUAAGGGC